GGGAAAGAGAGAAGGAGGGAGGGAGAAGGGGAGGGGGAGGAGAGAAAGAAAGAAAAUUUUAAAAUGAAGCCAGAUUUCAAAAUAAGUUUGCAAACAAAAGCACCAACAUUGGGCCUUGAAAUGGUGCUUAACAGUUCAGAAAGGACUUUCUAUAGAGAUAAAUAUUGGACAGUUAACUAGAAUUUCAAAAGGCCAAGGGUUUAUGUUUCCUUAUUUCAGAUGUUACUAGAACAGUUAACUCUGGACUAACAAAUCAGAGUCUUUUCCUGUAGACUUUUUGAGUAUUGUGAUUUUUUUUUUAACCAAAAAGAAGGAAAAAUAAAUGUUUGUAUAGAAUAGGGGAAUGAACUUUAUUUGAUUUAGAAUUUUAGGGAUCAACAGAAAAUUGAAAACCUUUUAUUUUGCAAAAGUUUUUUUUUUUAAAUCACAUUACCAUGUGCUGUCACUCAUUUGAGAAGAUGACAGCUUAGCACCCCCAAAAUAGGAAUGGUAUCAGUAUCAGAAUGAAGUAUGAGUUGUUUGUUUUGCACUGCUGGGGAUUCAACCUAGGAUCUCAAGAAUGCAAGGCAAAACCUACAUCCUCAGCCCAGCAUGAUGUUUUUAAUUGAAUAAAUUUAAAGUUAUUAAACAUUACCUGUUGCAUUUCAUCAUGGCCCUACAUUGAAACAUCUUUAAGUUGUUCAUUUAUGAGUAUGUUAUCACUACAUUAAGAUAUUUUGAUAUUCAUUAUAUAUUCUAUUUCUACCACCUGGGGUACCUCUACCCUUUAUUUUUUACUUACCAACCAUCUGUUUUCCUUUAUGAAUAAAUGUUAUUUUUUUCUCCAAGAA
rnacentral:lncRNA from 1 species